AAUACACCUAUUUCCAGAAUAAGAAAUAAACUUCAAGAACUUUCAAAGUGGUUUGUGUUUGUACCGGCCGACAAAGCAGCCAAAAUGUGUGGUGUAUGCCGUAAAUACUACACGGACGUUCUUAAGAAUGAAAUUAUAAAUUCAUCUACAUUCAAGUCCAUCCGCUCCACAGAGAGUCAUAUAGUAAACAAACAUAUCACAACCACACCAAAG
rnacentral:lncRNA from 1 species